rnacentral:rRNA from 1 species
AGCGAACGCUGGCGGCAGGCCUAACACAUGCAAGUCGAACGGACCCUUCGGGGUUAGUGGCGGACGGGUGAGUAACACGUGGGAACGUGCCCUUAGGUUCGGAAUAGCUCCUGGAAACGGGUGGUAAUGCCGAAUGUGCCCUUCGGGGGAAAGAUUUAUCGCCUUUCGAGCGGCCCGCGUCUGAUUAGCUAGUUGGUGAGGUAACGGCUCACCAAGGCGACGAUCAGUAGCUGGUCUGAGAGGAUGACCAGCGACACUGGGACUGAGACACGGCCCAGACUCCUACGGGAGGGAGCAGUGGGGAAUCUUGCGCAAUGGGCGAAAGCCUGACGCAGCCAUGCCGCGUGAAUGAUGAAGGUCUUAGGAUUGUAAAAUUCUUUCACCGGGGACGAUAAUGACGGUACCCGGAGAAGAAGCCCCGGCUAACUUCGUG